CCUAAAUGAAGCAUUUAUAUUAUUCCACCCAAGGCUCAAGGGACAUUGGAAAAGAAGACACAGAAAGAAUUUAUGAUCUAGAACAAGAGAGCCAGCAGUACAUUUUCAGUUUGGUCUCCUUCCCUGCUUCAACUUUUCAAUUUGCUACUGCUGUUGCUGCUGUUGCUGAUAAAGAGGAGGAGGAGCAAGAGAAGGAGGAGGAAGAGGCCAGAACCUGGAAGCAACCUAGAUGCCCCUCAACUGAAGAAUGGAUACAGAAAAUGUGGUACAUUUACACAAUGGAGUACUACUCGGCAGGAGGAGGGGGAUGAAAUCUUGAAAUUCAC
rnacentral:lncRNA from 1 species